CUGGAGACUACCUGAACAUUGUGUCUGCUCCAGUGUCUAGUGACUUGAAGUCAGGGCCCCAUCAACGAGCCGGGGAUGAAGCUGAACAACAUGGAGCCUCGAGUGACGUGAUGGAGAGGGGAACCACCGGCAAAGUGUCGCAAGCUGGUGGAAGUGUUCCACGUCAAGGAGUGAUACAGAAGGACUCCGACCCCGGACAUGUCGACGACCUCCUUGCUGCC